rnacentral:snoRNA from 1 species
AAGACUAUACUUUCAGGGAUCAUUUCUCUAGUUCAUUACUAGAGAAGUUUCUCUGACCCUGUAGAGUACCUGAAACCACAGGAAGGAGCCAGAGCAUCCUCUCCUGAGCAUGAAGCUGGUUCUUGGUAUGCUGGGAAUAAAACUCAGGUAUGUGUGUGCAAAACAAGUGU